CCAAUAGCGUAUAUUAAAGUUGUUGCAGUUAAAAAGCUCGUAGUUGAAUUUCGGAAUCGACGGAUUGGUCGCGCCUUUGGUGUGUACUGGUCUUGACGGUUUCUCCCUUCUGACGAACCACGAUGUCAUUAAUUUGGUGUCGUGGGGAAUCAGGACUGUUACUUUGAAAAAAUUAGAGUGUUUAAAGCAGGCAUUAGCUUGAAUACAUUAGCAUGGAAUAAUGAAAUAGGACGUUUGAUCUUAUUUUGUUGGUUUCUAGGAUCGACGUAAUGAUUAAUAGGGAUAGUUGGGGGCAUUAGUAUUCAAUUGUCAGAGGUGAAAUUCUUGGAUUUAUUGAAGACUAACUACUGCGAAAGCAUUUGCCAAGGAUGUUUUCAUUAAUCAAGAACGAAAGUUAGGGGAUCGAAGACGAUCAGAUACCGUCGUAGUCUUAACCAUAAACUAUGCCGACUAGGGAUCGGAUGAUGUUAAUUUUUUAAUGACUCAUUCGGCGCCUUACG
rnacentral:rRNA from 1 species